GAGCCCGUAGCUCAAUGGUUAGAGCAUUGGACUUCAGAUCAACGGGUAGCGGGUUCG
rnacentral:tRNA from 1 species